rnacentral:rRNA from 1 species
AUUGAACGCUGGCGGCAGGCUUAACACAUGCAAGUCGAGCGCGCGGCGGACGGGUGAGUAAUGUCUGGGAAACUGCCUGAUGGAGGGGGAUAACUACUGGAAACGGUAGCUAAUACCGCAUCCCCUCAGCUGUGCCCAGAUGGGAUUAGCUAGUAGGUGGGGUAAUGGCUCACCGAGGCGACGAUCCCUAGCUGGUCUGAGAGGAUGACCAGCAAAACGGGAACUGAGACACGGUCAAGACGCCUACGGGAGGGAGCAGGGGGGAAUAUUGCACAAUGGGAGCAAGCCUGAUGCAGCCAGGCCGCGUGUGUGAAGAAGGCCUUCGGGUUGUAAAGCACUUUCAGCGAGGAGGCGUUACUCGCAGAAGAAGCACCGGCUAACUCCGUGCCAGCAGCCGCGGUAAUAC